rnacentral:SRP_RNA from 1 species
GGCUGGGUCCCAUGCAGUGGGGCCUGUGGGCAUCGGGUCAGACUGGAAACAGAGCAGCCCAUCCACGCGCUUCAGGUGCCGUGGUGUACUUAGCCAUC